UACGUAGGGAGCAAGCGUUGUCCGGAAUCAUUGGGCGUAAAGCGCGCGUAGGUGGCCCCAUAAGUCCGCUGUGAAAGUCAAAGGCUCAACCUUUGAAAGCCGGUGGAUACUGUGGGACUAGAGUACGGAAGAGGCGAGUGGAACUCCUGGUGUAGCGGUGGAAUGCGCAGAUAUCAGGAGGAACACCAAUAGCGAAGGCAGCUCGCUGGGACGUUACUGACACUGAGGCGCGAAAGCGUGGGGAGCGAACAGG
rnacentral:rRNA from 1 species